AUACGGAGGAUCCGAGCGUUAUCCGGAUUUAUUGGGUUUAAAGGGUGCGCAGGCGGCCAUUUAAGUCAGCGGUUAAAUCGUGGGGCUCAACCCCAUUCUGCCGUUGAUACUGGGUGGCUUGAUUGCGGUCGAGGUUGGCGGAAUUCGUUGUGUAGCGGUAAAAUGCAUAGAUAUGACGAAGAACACCGAUUGCGUAGGCAGCUGACCAGACCGCAAAUGACGCUCAUGCACGAAAGUGCGGAGAUCGAACAGGAUUAGAUACCCUGGUAGUCCGCACAGUAAACGAUGAAUACUUAUUUUCGGCGAUAUAAUGUCGGAGGCAAAGCGAAAGCGAUAAGUAUACCACCUGGGGAGUACGACGGCAACGGUGAAACUCAAGGUAAUGGACGG
rnacentral:rRNA from 1 species